UACGAGGGGGGCAAGCGUUGUUCGGAAUUAUUGGGCGUAAAGGGUGCGUAGGCGGUCUAUUAAGUCAGUGCUGAAAUAUCCCGGCUUAACCGGGAGGGUGGCAUUGAUACUGAUGGACUUGAGUGCAGUCGAGGUAGGCGGAAUUGACGGUGUAGCGGUGAAAUGCUUAGAUAUCGUCAAGAACACCGAUAGUGAAGACAGCUUACUAGACUGUAACUGACGCUGAGGCACGAAAGUGUGGGGAUCAAACAGG
rnacentral:rRNA from 1 species